GAGUGACAACCACGUAAACACCUCGUAAUGCAUAGCAUAAGCUACAUUUAAAAACAUCACAACAUGCCAACACUACAUGUUACAAAAAUAACAAUGUCGCCAAGGCAUAGGACACGGACACCGAUAUGCGGUUUUGGAACAGUGACAAUAAGUACUUCAUUUAAAAAGCUUUAUAAAACAGACCUACCCUGAACUGCAUAAUGAAUAACAUGAAAUGUAAAUGCUGCCAACAAAUAUAUGCCGCCAGU